AGCCACUGUCACUCAACAUACCGGGCAUCCUUUGGCUUAGAUGGUGGCAUGGUUUUGAGGCUGAUAUAUGUGUCACCCCUCCUCCACUCCCUAGAGGUGGGGUGUAGACAAUUAAGGUACCAAAUAUCUUUAGGAUAUGUACUGACUAAAGGUAGAAUGUUGAUUUUGUCUCUUUGGGCUGGCUAGCAAGCAGUGCAGUAUAAAUGGCUCAUAGUUCAUGCAUUAGGGAGUGGAGAUCAAGACAGAGAUGAAUCCUCUCUACCAGAAUUCUGCUUCCAUGACUAGUAGCUGUCUUGAUGAUUUUCACUUCCCAAAGGUUCCUUUACUUAACAACAAGGUUGAAGGAUGCCUGAGAUCAGGGCUGGCCUGAGAUAGCUGUACAUCACGGCCAACUAAUAAUUUAAUGUUUUUUUCAAAAUCCAAAUUUCAGAUAAGAUCUAUGUAUCUUUUUCUGCAAAUUCAUGAGAUGAACUUGAGGGUAGUUUAAUAUUUCUACUGUGAUGGGAGAUUUUCCCUCUGACAGUCCUCCCUCCCCGACUUGGUUGGGAUGGGAUGGGGCCUGUUAUGAAUGCUUGGAAAAAUCUUGACCCAGAGAACUUGAACAGAGACACACAUAGUUCUAUUUUACCAGUUCAGCUUCGAAGAAGGAUGUCAUCAGGAAGCUGCCCUUCAGAAGACUGGCACGUCUCACCCACGGCCCUCAGUUGGCAAAAAUCUUCCGAGGACCUUCUGCCUUGUUCUAAUGGCUGUAGUUUCUAAGUGUGAUCACAGUCCCUUUGGAACCCCACCCAGAUGCCUUCUAAGUCCUUUGGAGGAAGAGAAGAGAACAUCUGGCUGUCUUCUAUGCAUAGAAGUAGGCUACAAAGGGUAAAUGAAAGGACGUUUUCUCCACCUACUCAGUCCAGGCAGCCCAGUUUACUUUCAGAUAGGUGCAUAAACAUGGAUGGUUAGGAUAGAUGGGCUCAAAUGAAAGAGAAGAAUGACCAAAGGUGGCUUAUAACCAUUUCAACUCCAAUUCCAGGGGAUCUUAUUCGGUGCCCUCUUUUGGCCUCCAUCGACACCAGGUACACACAUAGUGCACAGACAUACAUGCAGGUAAAACAUCUAUACACAUGAAAUAAUUAUAACAAUAAUGAUAAAGAUCAUCCAAGGGUAGUCCAUUCCAAAUCUCAGUUGGAAAUCUAGAGCAAGAUUGCCUUUUUCUUGUAAUAACCAUUUACUUUUCUAACAUAUCAGCAAAUUUCACUGAAGAGGGUUCAUCAUGGCCUAGUCUAACAAUACUUCUUCCUCUCAAAUCCCAAGCUUCCUCUUUUUAUCAUUAUCCAAAAUAGACAGUGUCUGCUACUUAACCUCAGGCCAGCCCUUUCCUUUUUCCUCUUUAGUCUCCUAGUUAAACGACUGUGACUGAAUCCUCUAAAUGUGUGCUUUCUGUAGUCAGUUUUCUAUAGGUGUGAAAAAACACCUAAGCAAAGAACUUAAGGGAGAAAAAUAUUUCUUUUGGCUUUAAGUUCCAGAGAUUUCCACCUGUCACCAUGGGAGCGUGUUACAGAGCCGGACAGCUCAUCUCAUGGCAUCCAGGAAACAGAGGCAGAACACUUGAGCCAUUGAUCUUUCCCCUUCCCCCUUCAUCCCAUCAAAACCGCCAGCAAGGGAGAUGGUGCCAGUACUCAGGGGGUGUCCCGCCUUUGUUAAUCCUCUCUGGAAACACCCUUAUGGGUACACACAGAGAUGUGCUUUCCUCAUCUUCCAAGUGGUUCCUAAGUCAGUUAAGUUGAUAAUCAAGAUUAAUCAUUGCCUGUGGCUUCCAAUGUUGCCAAAGAGAAGUCUUUAUUUCCUGCCUUGAAGUAUUAUAGCAGAGGGCACAGUCUGGGAUGAAAGAAGAGCGAAUAUAGAAACAGUUUAGGGGUGGAGUUACAAUGCAUGGGACGUCUCUGGAAUUUUUCCUAUAAUAAAUGAAUUCCAUAUCACUUAGCUAGUCUCAGGAAGUAGAUAGAGCCCUUUCCAUUUUGGUCCAGGUUGGCUCGGGGACUUUUAAAACUGGUGCUUGGCACUAGAACAUGUCAGGGCUGUGCUUCCGAAGGGAUGAAGAAGGUAAGACAUGACAGAAACAGUGUCAGCAAACACAGCACUGUCUGACAGAGACUCGGGGCUAAGCGUUUUAUAUAAUCAUCUCUUUUCAUUCCUAGUAUAAUCCUGUGAAGUCAGUUCAACUAUUAAUUCAAAUUUUAAAGAUAAGGUUAAGUAAGUUACCCAGAGUCCCAGGGCAAUAAUUUGUGAUAGCAUAACUCCAAUGUCUGUUCACUUAACUAUUUGAUUACUUUCCAUCAGGAUACAGAAAGAUUAUAAGGUAAGGACUGUGGAUGGAGACAAACUCAUAUAUAUGAAGGGUCUAUGUUUCAAGCCCCAUCUACAGUCAUUUCAUAUGACCUUCAAAAUGUGUAUUUUGUUUAAACUUUUUUAUAAACAAGGAAGCUAACAGUACAAUUUUAAAAAAAUAUGAAGGUCACACAUGUGAAAAUUGUAGAACCAAUGUUGGACUUGCACAUUGUACAGAAAGUCUACAGUUGCCUUACCAUGGCAUGCAGCUUGACUACACAAUGUUCCAUCAUUCCUGCUUUGAGACACAAUGACUGCAUCACACGAUUCAAGUACAGAGUAGAAUUUAUGACACAUUUCUUCAUCAAAAAGCAUCUUUGAUACAGAAAUGAAAAUAGAUCCUCUUAACUUUGCUACCAUCUUUGUUUUUCUGAAGUCAAGAAAAUAUAUGCAGUAUGUUCAAGUCGCAUAUGGCCUGUAGUUCAUGGCUAGUUUUUUUCUUAAAAGCACUAUUUCCAGGGUAAGCAGGGCAAAAAGCAGACUGCACUGACUCAAUGUUUUAUCUCAAGCAGAGAAAAGAAAAAAAGGAAUGAAGACGUCAUCACUCUGUUGAUUUGCGCACAUGUAACCAUGAUGCUGUGAGUCUGGGUUGCUUGGAGAAUGUGCUGGGUAAAGGAGCAGAGGACAGAGGGAAACUUCGAGUGCUCUAGCAUGGCACAGCUGAGUGAAAAUUACCCUUACAUCUCUGUGUGUUGGCCUGGCUGUGAAGAAGAGAAAUGCCCUUCAUUUCCCAGUGGGACAAAUGUCAACAAGCACCAUAUGGCAUGUGAGGCUGGGACUUGUCCUUUGCCUGUUCUGAGGAAACAGCUCCAACCUAUGUUACUUUUGUGUGUGUGACAUUGUCACCAAAGGCACAGCAGGCAUCCUGAGAGCAAAAUCUACCCUGCACUUCUUUGGAGAGGCAUCCAGAAGGUGGGCAGGUGCUUUUUAGUAAGUGUGGGUGAAGGAGAUUGCCUUAUGAUGCCCAUUCACUUCCUUCCUCCUCUAGCAACUGAACAGAUGUGCAGUGAGGAGUCUAUUUCUUCAUUUCAGCGAAUCUCACGGAAACUCACCCAUGUGUCUGUGGACAUUCCUUCCUUCCACAGUUCCUCCAACCUUUCCAUUGCCAUCAUCUCCAUGUACUUUGGCCAUCAGCCACUUCCUUUUCUUCCAAGCUUUUCCGUAUAACCUCUGAGCGCAGGGAAGAAUGGACACAGGUGCCCUCACCUCAUCAUGUGGAUUUCCUCCUGCUUUCUUGGAAGGAUGGAAGUCAGUCUCUGUACUUCACCUUCGGUAUUUUUUAAAAUGUGAUCCCUAUAAAAGAUUUAUAUAUUAAAAAUGUUUUGUGUGUA